rnacentral:rRNA from 1 species
GAUGAACGCUGGCGGCGUGCUUAACACAUGCAAGUCGAACGGAAAGGCUCCUGCUUGCAGGGGUACUCGAGUGGCGAACGGGUGAGUAACACGUGGGUGAUCUGCCCUGCACUUCGGGAUAAGCCUGGGAAACUGGGUCUAAUACCGGAUAGGACCACAUUUUGGCUGGUGUGGUGGAAAGUUUUUCGGUGUGGGAUGAGCUCGCGGCCUAUCAGCUUGUUGGUGGGGUAAUGGCCUACCAAGGCGUCGACGGGUAGCCGGCCUGAGAGGGUGUACGGCCACAUUGGGACUGAGAUACGGCCCAGACUCCUACGGGAGGCAGCAGUGGGGAAUAGUGCACAAUGGGCGCAAGCCGGAUGCAGCGACGCCGCGUGGGGGAUGACGGCCUUCGGGUUGUAAACUCCUUUCGCUAGGGACGAAGCGCAAGUGACGGUACCUGGAGAAGAAGCACCGGCUAACUACGUG